rnacentral:lncRNA from 1 species
GACCUUCCAGAGGCCCGAGGCCGGCUUGAGGAUGGACGUGUAUCAGGCACUUACUGUGCGGGUCACUCCCUGGAUCCUGGUCUGGCAGCAGGAAACAGAGGACGCGGUUGCCACACGGAGCCUGCAUUCAAGUGAGAGAGCAAAAGUGAGUCAUCAGCAUCAGCUCAGUGACGGCUGCAGUGACUACAGAGGGGUGCGUGCCUUGAGGCUGAGAACCGCUAAAGCGUGAACAGCCAGGGCCGGAUGGCUAUGCAGGGACCCGGAUGACGAAGGAGACCGCGAUGUUGGUGAAGGUGAGAUUCACUCCUCAGCUACAUCUUCAGAAGACAGCUGUUUUUCAUCUUUGGUGAUUGAUUGUAGAAGACCCA